GGCCUCGUAGUUCAGUUGGCUAGAGCGUUGGCUGUACUAAAGCCUUCCCCUUGCUGGCAUGGGUUUGAAUCCCACCGAGGCCG
rnacentral:tRNA from 1 species